GAGGUUGUGGCUCAGCGGUAGAGUGCUUGCCUAGCAUGUGCAAAGCCCUGGGUUCGAUCCUCAGCACCACA
rnacentral:tRNA from 1 species